rnacentral:rRNA from 1 species
UGGGGAAUCUUGGACAAUGGGGGAAACCCUGAUCCAGCCAUGCCGCGUGAAUGAUGAAGGCCUUAGGGUUGUAAAAUUCUUUCAGUGGGGAAGAUAAUGACGGUACCCACAGAAGAAGCCCCGGCUAACUCCGUGCCAGCAGCCGCGGUAAUACGGAGGGGGCUAGCGUUGUUCGGAAUUACUGGGCGUAAAGCGCGCGUAGGCGGACUAGCCAGUCAGAGGUGAAAGCCCAGGGCUCAACCCUGGAACUGCCUUUGAUACUGUUAGUCUGGAGUCCGGGAGAGGUGUGUGGAAUUCCGAGUGUAGAGGUGAAAUUCGUAGAUAUUCGGAGGAACACCAGAGGCGAAGGCGGCACACUGGACCGGUACUGACGCUGAGGCGCGAAAGCGUGGGGAGCAAACAGG